rnacentral:ncRNA from 1 species
GGGGUCUGUGGUUGAAAGUCGAUGCCAGUCGCAGGCGAAACGACCCACGUAAGCGAGAGAAACUCUCGUGAGCAUGGUGCGGUUUAGGUGUAAGUCCGUCCGUCGUUAUCGGCGAGAGGGGUAGUAGUGGGGGAGCAAGGGCUUUAUGAGCGAACCCUCCGGACGGCGAGUGUGGGGUCAAAGACCAGGUCAGCCCG